rnacentral:rRNA from 1 species
AACGAACGCUGGCGGCGUGUUUAAGACAUGCAAGUCGCACGGGAUAAGACAUGUAGUAAUACUUGUUUUAUUUAGUGGCGCACGGGUGAGUAACACGUGAAUUACAUGCCCUAUAGUGGGGAAUAGCCCAGGGAAACUUGGAUUAAUACCCCAUGGUAUCGAAAGAUUAAAGGUGGCCGCAAGGCUGUCGCUAUAGGAUUGGUUCGCGCCCUAUCAGCUUGUUGGUGAGGUAACGGCUCACCAAGGCGAUGACGGGUACCUGGUCUGAGAGGACGGUGAGGCCAACUGGAGCGAGAACAAGGUCCAGACACCUACGGGUGGCAGAAGUCGAGAAUAAUGCACAAUGGGGGCAACCCUGAUGGUGCAACGUCGCGUGGAGGAUGACGGUCUUCGGAGUGUAAACUCCUGUCAUCUGGGAGAAAGACCUGACGGUAAAUAGCCGGCAGGGUUGAUAGGACCAGAAGAGGAAGGGACGGCUAACUUCGUGCCAGCAGCCGCCGUAA